AUUGAACGCUGGCGGCAGGCCUAACACAUGCAAGUCGAACGGGGGACGGGCGGGUGAGUAAUGGCAGGGAGCCUGGCAGAUGGGGGGGGAUAACCACUGGAAACGGUAACUAAGAACGCACACGAUCGGAUGUGACCCGAUGGGAUUAGCUGGUGGGUGGGGUAACGGCUCACCUAGGCGACGAUCCCUAGCUGGUCUGAGAGGAUGACCAGCCACACUGGAACUGAGACACGGUCCAGACUCCUACGGGAGGCAGCAGUGGGGAAUAUUGCACAAUGGGCGAAAGCCUGAUGCAGCCAUGCCGCGUGUAUGAAGAAGGCCUUCGGGUUGUAAAGUACUUUCAGCGGGGAGGCGUUACCCGCAGAAGAAGCACCGGCUAACUACGUGCCAGCAGCCGCGGUAAUUC
rnacentral:rRNA from 1 species